GUGUCAGCCGCCGCGGUAAUACGGAAUGUGCAAACGUUAUUCGGAAUCACUGGGCUUAAAGAGUCCGUAGGCGGCAUGUUAGGUGAGGUGUGAAAUCCCACGGCCUAACCGUGGAAUUGCGCUUCAAACCGGCGUGCUAGAGGAAGAUAGAGGUGGGCGGAACUGAUGGUGGAGCGGUGAAAUGCGUUGAUAUCAUCAGGAACACCGGAGGCGAAGGCGGCCCACUGGGUCUUUUCUGACGCUGAGGGACGAAAGCUAGGGGAGCGAACGGGAUUAGAAACCCUUGUAGUCC
rnacentral:rRNA from 1 species